AGUGAACGCCGGCGGUAGGCCUAACACAUGCAAGUCGAACGGCAGCACAGUAAGAGCUUGCUCUUACGGGUGGCGAGUGGCGGACGGGUGAGGAAUACAUCGGAAUCUACUUUUUCGUGGGGGAUAACGUAGGGAAACUUACGCUAAUACCGCAUACGACCUACGGGUGAAAGCAGGGGAUCUUCGGACCUUGCGCGAUUGAAUGAGCCGAUGUCGGAUUAGCUAGUUGGCGGGGUAAAGGCCCACCAAGGCGACGAUCCGUAGCUGGUCUGAGAGGAUGAUCAGCCACACUGGAACUGAGACACGGUCCAGACUCCUACGGGAGGCAGCAGUGGGGAAUAUUGGACAAUGGGCGCAAGCCUGAUCCAGCCAUACCGCGUGGGUGAAGAAGGCCUUCGGGUUGUAAAGCCCUUUUGUUGGGAAAGAAAAGCAGCAGGUUAAUCCCCCGCUGUUCUGACUGUACCCAAAGAAUAAGCACCGGCUAACUUCGUG
rnacentral:rRNA from 1 species